rnacentral:rRNA from 1 species
GCGAAUGAACAAGGAUAUGCUUAGCUUGACAAAUGGAGCUAUUGGCUUUGAAUUGUAUUGUGGAAAUGUAUUACCAACAGAGGUGCAGGUGCCAGCCUAUUGAAAUAAAGCGUCAAUGAGGGUGAGAAUCCUGUUUGUCAUGUGCAGCCCUUUGUGCACGGUGUAUAUUUGCUGAGUCACACUCCUUGGCAUUGGAAUGCAAAGUGGGUGGUAAGUUUCAUGUAAAGGUAAACAUGCAAUUGAGACUGAUAGCACACAAGUACCAUGAGGGAAAUAUGAAAAGGACUUUGAAAAGAGAAUUAAAUGAGUUUGUAUUUGCUGAACACAAAGUAAACAGACUUGAUUUGCUUGGUGGGAGUGUUGCACUUGCUUGACAAGAGCUUUGGGCUGUGGGUGUAAUGAUUCUUUCUUUGCAUGCCAGUUUCUAUUUGUACAUCUGAUUACCUUUGCACAUGAAUGAUAAGUCUCCUGUGGGGGGUGGAUUGCAUGUGCAUGUAAUGAUUUGUGUUUUGAUAAAUGUGUCUGGUGUAUGUGUGUGUUCCUGUGCUUGGGGAUGCUUCCUUCCUUGGACUUACAAGCCCUGACACACACAUGCUGGCAAAAUGCUUCUGCUUGACCCGUCUUGAAACACGGACCAAGGAGUCUAACAGAUGUGCAAAGUUUGAAGGUGGUAUACCUUUGUGUGCAAUGAAAGUGUCAGCUGGGAUAUGUGCACCAGCACCCAAUUAAUUAGCGGACAGAGGUUUGAGUUGGAGCAUAUCUAUAAAGACCCGAAAGAUGGUGAACUAUGCCUGAACAGAAUGAAUUCAGAGGAAACUCUGAUGGAGGUUCGUAUCGAUAACUGACGUGCAAAUCGUUCGUCAUAUUUGGGUAUAGGGGCGAAAGACUAAUCGAACCAUCUAGUAGCUGGUUCCCUCCGAAGUUUCCCUCAGGAUAGCUGGAGUUGCUCAGUUUUAUCAGGUAAAGCGAAUGAUUAGAGGAAUUGGGGACAGGUUUGUCUUUGACCUAUUCUCAAACUUUAAAUGGGUAAUAUGUAGUGGUUGCUGUAUGGAACUUCUAAGAUAAAUGGCAAUAUUGGGUGGGCCAUUUUUGGUAAGCAGAACUGGCGAUGAGGGAUGAACCUAAUGUGGGGCUAAGGUGCUUAAUUACUUGCUCAUUUGAUACCAGAAAGGGUGUUGGUUCAUUUUAACA